ACAAAAAGUACUAUCAAUUAAAUAAAAUGGUAGAAACAAAAGAAUAGCGAAGAAGAAGCAAAUGCGCUUCACGCUAAUUCCAAGUACCAACACAAAACAAAUUCAAUGUUUGGUGAAGCAACUUGCUUAGUGGCGGACGGGUGAGUAACGCGUGAACAAUCUGCCCCGUACAAAGGGAUAGCCUCGGGAAACCGGGAUUAAAACCAUAUAACACUUAACUGCCGCAUGGUAGUGAAGUCAAAUCGAGUAAGAGGUAUGGGAUGAGUUCGCGUCUGAUUAGCUAGUUGGUGAGGUAAGGGCUCACCAAGGCGACGAUCAGUAGCCGGCCUGAGAGGGUGAACGGCCACACUGGAACUGAGACACGGUCCAGACUCCUACGGGAGGCAGCAGUGGGGAAUAUUGCACAAUGGAGGGAACUCUGAUGCAGCGACGCCGCGUGAGUGAAGAAGGUCUUCGGAUCGUAAAACUCUGUCCUUGGUGAAGAAAAGGACGGUAGCCAAGGAGGAAGCCCCGGCUAACUACGUG
rnacentral:rRNA from 1 species